GACGAACGCUGGCGGCGUGCUUAACACAUGCAAGUCGAGGGGGAGUAGGGGCAACUCUACUUCACCGGCGAACGGGUGCGUAACACGUGAGCGACCUACCCUGGUGUGGGGGAUAGCCGGCCCAACGGCCGGGUAAUACCGCAUACGCUCUUUGAGGGGCAUCCCUUGGAGACCAAAGCCGUGGGGCAACUCACGGCGCAUUGGGAGGGGCUCGCGGCCUAUCAGCUAGUUGGCGAGGUAACGGCNCACCAAGGCGACGACGGGUAGCUGGUCUGAGAGGAUGGCCAGCCACAUUGGGACUGAGAGACGGCCCAGACUCCUACGGGAGGCAGCAGUGGGGAAUCUUGCGCAAUGGGCGAAAGCCUGACGCAGCGACGCCGCGUGC
rnacentral:rRNA from 1 species